GAUGAACGCCGGCGGCGUGCUUAACACAUGCAAGUCGAACGAAGCAUUUGCGACCGAUUUUUUCGGACUGAAGUUGCUUAUGACUGAGUGGCGGACGGGUGAGUAACGCGUGGGUAACCUGCCUUUUACUGGGGGAUAGCAUCUGUAAACGGCUGAUAAUACCGCAUAAGCUCACAAUGUUGCAUGACAUGGUGUGAAAAACUCCGGUGGUAUAAGAUGGACCCGCGUCUGAUUAUCUAGUUGGUGAGAUAACAGCCCACCAAGGCGACGAUCAGUAGCCGACAUGAGAGGGUGACCGGACACAUUGGGGCUGAGACACGGCCCAGACUCCUACGGGAGGCAGCAGUGGGGAAUAGUGCAAAAUGGAGGAAACUCUGAUGCAGCGACGCCGCGUGAGUGAAGAAGUAAUUCGUUAUGUAAAGCUCUAGCAGCAGGGAAGAUAGUGACGGUACCUGACUAAGAAGCUCCGGCUAAAUACGUG
rnacentral:rRNA from 1 species